GGGAUUGGCCGCAAUGGGAAAAACCGUAUGAACUUUAAAGGAAAAAAUUCAAGAAGAAGCAAGAUUCGUUUUCGGGGAGAUAGGCCGAUUCAAGGUGCAUUGAGGGUCCCUUCAUCUUCCUGAGACCUCCCUGAAGCGAUCCCAUUCAUUACCCAUAGCCAACACCUCCAGGAGCUCGCAUCUACAAGCCACGGUUUGAAAGCAAAAGGUCUACAGCUACGCUUAAAAACCGUGGCCUAAAGUUUCUGUAUUUCAAAAAUAAAAGUGUUGCCUUUUGAACGAGGAAGAAGAAGAGUAAUGGCCCGCUGGUCAUUUGAAUUUCAUUUUGGAAAUUGUGAAUCGUAUAUAUCAAUUGAUGAUGAUUAUGCUAACAGCAAAACCUCCUUGGCUUAGUGGAAAGAGCGCGCAUCAGGUUCAAGAGCAAGGGCGUGGGAUCGAUCCCUGCCUCUUGCUUCUCUUCUUUUUAUUUUCCAUAAAGUGAUUCUCUUGUAGAUUCAAUACACUAACUCAUAUCCGACCACGGUGCACCCCCCAAUUCUGGGCCAUUGGAUUCAUGUUAAGGCUAGAUCUGAAGGGCCAAAAAGCGCAAGCACAUCAUGGGCCUUACCAAUCUGACCACAUUCAAUAAAAUCCUGGUUUUUUUU